UACGUAGGGUGCGAGCGUUAAUCGGAAUUACUGGGCGUAAAGCGUGCGCAGGUGGCUUUGCAAGACAGAUGUGAAAUCCCCGGGCUUAACCUGGGAAUGGCGCUUGUGACUGCAGUGCUGGAGUGCGGCAGAGGGGGAUGGAAUUCCGCGUGUAGCAGUGAAAUGCGUAGAUAUGCGGAGGAACACCAAUGGCGAAGGCAAUCCCCUGGGCCUGUACUGACGCUCAUGCACGAAAGCGUGGGGAGCAAACAGG
rnacentral:rRNA from 1 species